rnacentral:rRNA from 1 species
GACGAACGCUGGCGGCGUGCUUAACACAUGCAAGUCGAACGGAAAGGCCCUGCUUUCAGGGUACUCGAGUUGCGAACGGGUGAGUAACACGUGGGUGAUCUGCCCUGCACUUCGGGAUAAGCCUGUGAAACUGGGUCUAAUACCUGAUAGGAGCCAUUUUUAGUGGGAUGGUUGGAAAGUUUUGUCGGUGUAGGAUGAGCUCGCGGCCUAUCAGCUUGUUGGUGUGGUAAUGGCCUACCAAGGCGGCGACGGGUAGCCGGACUGAGAGGGUGGACGGCCACAUUGGGACUGAGGUAAGGCACAGACACCGACGGGAGGGAGAUGUGGGGAAUAUUGCACAAUGGGCGCAAGGCGGAUGAAGAGACGCCGCGUGGGGGAUGACGGUCUUCGGGUUGUAAACUCCUUUCGCUAGGGACGAAGCUUUUUGUGACGGUACCUAGACAAGAAGCACCGGCUAACUACGUG